AGACCCGAAACCCGGUGAUCUAGCCAUGGGCAGGUUGAAGGUUGGGUAACACUAACUGGAGGACCGAACCGACUAAUGUUGAAAAAUUAGCGGAUGACCUGUGGCUGGGGGUGAAAGGCCAAUCAAACCGGGAGAUAGCUGGUUCUCCCCGAAAGCUAUUUAGGUAGCGCCUCGUGAAUUCAUCUCCGGGGGUAGAGCACUGUUUCGGCUAGGGGGCCAUCCCGGCUUACCAACCCGAUGCAAACUGCGAAUACCGGAGAAUGUUAUCACGGGAGACACACGGCGGGUGCUAACGUCCGUCGUGAAGAGGGAAACAACCCAGACCGCCAGCUAAGGUCCCAAAGUCAUGGUUAAGUGGGAAACGAUGUGGGAAGGCCCAGACAGCCAGGAUGUUGGCUUAGAAGCAGCCAUCAUUUAAAGAAAGCGUAAUAGCUCACUGGUCGAGUCGGCCUGCGCGGAAGAUGUAACGGGGCUAAACCAUGCACCGAAGCUGCGGCAGCGACGCUGAUGCGUUGUUGGGUAGGGGAGCGUUCUGUAAGCCUGUGAAGGUGGCCUGUGAGGGUUGCUGGAGGUAUCAGAAGUGCGAAUGCUGACAUAAGUAACGAUAAAGCGGGUGAAAAGCCCGCUCGCCGGAAGACCAAGGGUUCCUGUCCAACGUUAAUCGGGGCAGGGUGAGUCGACCCCUAAGGCGAGGCCGAAAGGCGUAGUCGAUGGGAAACGGGUUAAUAUUCCCGUACUUGGUGUUACUGCGAAGGGGGGACGGAGAAGGCUAUGUUGGCCGGGCGACGGUUGUCCCGGUUUAAGCGUGUAGGUGUGUGUUCCAGGUAAAUCCGGUUCACUUUAACACUGAGGCGUGAUGACGAGGCACUACGGUGCUGAAGCAACAAAUGCCCUGCUUCCAGGAAAAGCCUCUAAGCAUCAGGUAACAUCAAAUCGUACCCCAAACCGACACAGGUGGUCAGGUAGAGAAUACCAAGGCGCUUGAGAGAACUCGGGUGAAGGAACUAGGCAAAAUGGUGCCGUAACUUCGGGAGAAGGCACGCUGACACGUAGGUGAAGUGAUUUACUCAUGGAGCUGAAGUCAGUCGAAGAUACCAGCUGGCUGCAACUGUUUAUUAAAAACACAGCACUGUGCAAACACGAAAGUGGACGUAUACGGUGUGACGCCUGCCCGGUGCCGGAAGGUUAAUUGAUGGGGUCAGCGCAAGCGAAGCUCCUGAUCGAAGCCCCGGUAAACGGCGGCCGUAACUAUAACGGUCCUAAGGUAGCGAAAUUCCUUGUCGGGUAAGUUCCGACCUGCACGAAUGGCGUAAUGAUGGCCAGGCUGUCUCCACCCGAGACUCAGUGAAAUUGAACUCGCUGUGAAGAUGCAGUGUACCCGCGGCAAGACGGAAAGACCCCGUGAACCUUUACUAUAGCUUGACACUGAACAUUGAGCCUUGAUGUGUAGGAUAGGUGGGAGGCUUUGAAGUGUGGACGCCAGUCUGCAUGGAGCCGGCCUUGAAAUACCACCCUUUAAUGUUUGAUGUUCUAACGUGGACCCGUGAUCCGGGUUGCGGACAGUGUCUGGUGGGUAGUUUGACUGGGGCGGUCUCCUCCUAAAGAGUAACGGAGGAGCACGAAGGUUGGCUAAUCCUGGUCGGACAUCAGGAGGUUAGUGCAAUGGCAUAAGCCAGCUUGACUGCGAGCGUGACGGCGCGAGCAGGUGCGAAAGCAGGUCAUAGUGAUCCGGUGGUUCUGAAUGGAAGGGCCAUCGCUCAACGGAUAAAAGGUACUCCGGGGAUAACAGGCUGAUACCGCCCAAGAGUUCAUAUCGACGGCGGUGUUUGGCACCUCGAUGUCGGCUCAUCACAUCCUGGGGCUGAAGUAGGUCCCAAGGGUAUGGCUGUUCGCCAUUUAAAGUGGUACGCGAGCUGGGUUUAGAACGUCGUGAGACAGUUCGGUCCCUAUCUGCCGUGGGCGCUGGAGAACUGAGGGGGGCUGCUCCUAGUACGAGAGGACCGGAGUGGACGCAUCACUGGUGUUCGGGUUGUCAUGCCAAUGGCACUGCCCGGUAGCUAAAUGCGGAAGAGAUAAGUGCUGAAAGCAUCUAAGCACGAAACUUGCCCCGAGAUGAGUUCUC
rnacentral:rRNA from 1 species